UGCCUUAGGAAGCCCAUCAUGUAUACACAAC
rnacentral:piRNA from 1 species